AUUGAACGCUGGCGGCAUGCCUUACACAUGCAAGUCGAACGGCAGCGCGGGAGCAAUCCUGGCGGCGAGUGGCGAACGGGUGAGUAAUGCAUCGGAACGUGCCUAGUAGUGGGGGAUAACUGCUCGAAAGAGCAGCUAAUACCGCAUACGACCUGAGGGUGAAAGGGGGGGAUCGCAAGACCUCUCGCUAUUAGAGCGGCCGAUGUCGGAUUAGCUAGUUGGUGGGGUAAAGGCCCACCAAGGCAACGAUCCGUAGCUGGUCUGAGAGGACGACCAGCCACACUGGGACUGAGACACGGCCCAGACUCCUACGGGAGGCAGCAGUGGGGAAUUUUGGACAAUGGACGCAAGUCUGAUCCAGCCAUGCCGCGUGCGGGAAGAAGGCCUUCGGGUUGUAAACCGCUUUUGUCAGGGAAGAAAUCUUCUGGGCUAAUACCCUGGGAGGAUGACGGUACCUGAAGAAUAAGCACCGGCUAACUACGUGCCAGCCGCCGCAGUAAAAC
rnacentral:rRNA from 1 species